CAGUAGCCACGGUAAUACAGAGGGUGAGAGCGUUAAUCGGAUUUACUGGGCGUAAAGCGUGCGUAGGCGGCUUCUUAAGUCGGAUGUGAAAUCCCUGAGCUUAACUUAGGAAUUGCAUUCGAUACUGGGAAGCUAGAGUAUGGGAGAGGAUGGUAGAAUUCCAGGUGUAGCGGUGAAAUGCGUAGAGAUCUGGAGGAAUACCGAUGGCGAAGGCAGCCAUCUGGCCUAAUACUGACGCUGAGGUACGAAAGCAUGGGGAGCAAACAGGAUUAGAUACCCCCGUAGUCCCUGUCUCUUAUAC
rnacentral:rRNA from 1 species